rnacentral:rRNA from 1 species
UACAGAGGUCUCAAGCGUUGUUCGGAUUCACUGGGCGUAAAGGGUGCGCAGGCGGCCGUGUGUGUCAGGUGUGAAAGCCCGGAGCUUAACUCCGGAAUUGCGCCUGAAACUACAUGGCUAGAGCAUUGGAGAGGGUAGCGGAAUUCACGGUGUAGCAGUGAAAUGCGUAGAUAUCGUGAGGAACACCAGAGGCGAAGGCGGCUACCUGGACAAUUGCUGACGCUCAGGCACGAAAGCGUGGGGAGCAAAAGGG